rnacentral:siRNA from 1 species
UUUGUUCGGGUCGGUUAUAGCCU